rnacentral:rRNA from 1 species
CACGUAGGGCGCAAGCGUUGUUCGGAAUUAUUGGGCGUAAAGGGCUCGUAGGCGGUUUGUCGCGUCGGGAGUGAAAACACCGGGCUUAACUCGGUGCUUGCUUUCGAUACGGGCAGACUAGAGGCAUGCAGGGGAGAACGGAAUUCCAGGUGUAGCGGUGAAAUGCGUAGAUAUCUGGAGGAACACCGGUGGCGAAGGCGGCAUCCUGGACCAAAACUGACGCUGAAUAGCGAAAGCCAGGGGAGCAAACGGG